rnacentral:rRNA from 1 species
UACGUAGGGUGCAAGCGUUGUCCGGAAUUAUUGGGCGUAAAGAGCUCGUAGGCGGUUUGUCGCGUCUGCUGUGAAAACUGGGGGCUCAACCCCCAGCCUGCAGUGGGUACGGGCAGACUAGAGUGCGGUAGGGGAGAUUGGAAUUCCUGGUGUAGCGGUGGAAUGCGCAGAUAUCAGGAGGAACACGAUGGCGAAGGCAGAUCUCUGGGCCGUAACUGACGCUGAGGAGCGAAAGCAUGGGGAGCGAACAGG